rnacentral:lncRNA from 1 species
CGACGGAAUAAUGGUGAUCAGCCCAUCCAGUUCAGCUCGCUGUCGCCGGAGCAGCAGCGUGUGACGGUCUGUAAACCGAAGCUUCCCUGUGCGGGGGAUUCCACUGCCCCACUUUCCACUGAUAGUGAGAAGCCAGAUCAGAAAUGACAGGUAAGGUUAAAAGGUUUUAUGUGUUAGACUGUUUGUGCAGUACUUUUGGUCAUAUUACAGUAUGUGUGUUAGGAACACUGAUAAUCAUCUCUGUGUGUUAGGAGGAGAGUAUGGCGCUCAGUCUGAGAGGAAAUGUUCAUGAACUGAGUCACUUGUAUGACCAAGAAUUGCUUGGAGUCCGUUCUCUGGAUGGUGGCAUGACACCUAAUUCAUCCCCAAGUCCAACUAGAAGAUUCAGAGGCUAUAAGAUGGCUGCCUUUAACUACAAUGAAAAGAAAAGUAGUUCAAAGACAGAUCUGUGGUUACCCAGGUGCCUACGUGGUUGCAGGUGGAAUCAGGCAAAAAAGGCUCUCUUAAAAGAGGAAAAGAGUGUGAUGGACCCCCCAAAAAGCUGUUUGUCGCUGGAGUAACCAACCCCCCCCCCCCCCCCCCACAUCAUAGGGUAUGGUGUUAGCUCUGUGUUCCAGUCUGCGUGCCCUUGUCCAAGGGAAGCAUCCAUGUCUUCUGGCCUCCUGGCACUUUCUCCCCCAGCGUCAUCCACUUCCCACCAUUCCAGCAUUUAAAAUCACACCUGUCAGCCACUUGCAACCUAAAAUAAGGUGGAGAACACAAAUGGGCACAUAUGUACAUACACAUUUACAUAUACCUGUCUGAAAUUGGAUCAGAAAACCAUAGUAUCAACUGAAAUGUAAAUUGAGCUCCACUGCUAAUAACAGUGGCUCAAGACUGAUGUGUUAUUUAGACAAGAAAGCAUCAGCAAGUGAUAGAAGAAUGAUGUGUUUAUAAUUGCAGAAACCAGUAUUUCAUAUUUUUGAUGGUAUUGUGCUUUGUGUGGAAUGUACUUCCACAAUGAUCCAGGUACAGUACUGGUAAGUGACUGCACAAUAUAAAAUUCAAACAUAGAUAAUAAAAUGUAACACUUAUGUAUGCA